rnacentral:rRNA from 1 species
CCUUAAAUUAAGUAAGACUACCUAUUAAACUUAAGUAUAUUAAUAAGUAGAGGAAAAGAAACUAAUAAGGAUUACCCUAGUAAUAGUAAGUAAAGUAGUAAUAACUUAAAUUUAAAAUCUAGCUCUUAGGGCCUAAGUUAUAAUUUAUAAAAGAUACUUUUAGUAAAAUGCCUUCUAAGUUCCCUAGAAUAAGAUACUAUAGAAGGUAAGAGCCUUAUAUAAUUAGACACUAAGCCUCUAUAAAGCUCUUUUAAUAAGUUAAGUAGUUUAGGAAUAUUACUUAAAAUAGGAGGUAUAUGUCUUCUAAAGCUAAAUAUUAGCUAGAGACUAAUAAUAUAUAAGUAAAGUAAUUAAAAGAUAAAAAGUACUUUAAAAAGAGGGUUAAAAAGUAUAUAAAAUUAUUAAAAGGGAAGUGCCUAUAACUAGACUUAUGCCUAAUAAAUUACCUAGUAUUCUUACUAGUGCACUUUACUAGGUAUAAGCUAGUAUUAGUUUAGUAUAAGGGAGAAAGGCUUUAGGAAUAUAGCUCCCUUAGGAGUAUUAUAGCCUACUAUAUAAUACCUUAUACUAGACUAAGGUAUAUAUAUUAUAAGGAUACUAGUAUAAUAGUUAUUAAUAACCUAUCUUAAAAUAUAGACUAAGGAGUUAUCUUUAUAUAUAAGUAUUUAGGUAUUAAACCCUUAUAUAUAAUAAAAGUAAAUAUAGGUAAGAGCUUUAGUAUAUUACUAACUAAUCCUAAUAUUCUUAGAUAGAUUUAAGUAAGAGUAUAUAAGGCUAAACCUAAAAGAAGGUAAAUUAUACUUAUAUAUAAUAAAGCUAGAGGAAACUCUAGUAAAGGCUUAUAGUAAUUCUAAUAUAUAAAUUAAUUAUUAACUAUAGAUAUAAGGGUAAAAGACUAAUUAAACCUUCUAGUAACUAGUUUCUACUAAAGUUUUCCUUAAGAUAGUAAUAUUAAACUUAGUUUUAUAAGGUAAAGUAAAUAAUUAGGGACUUAGGGGUAUUAUAUUACCUUUAUCUAUUCUUAAACUUUAAAUAUAUAAGAAGCCUUUAUUACUUAAUUAAAUAUAAGUAUUUAAAUAUAUUAAUACUAGUAGGCUAUUUUUAGUAAGUAGAACUAGUAAUAUAAGAUAAACUAAAUAUAAGGUUAAGGUAUUAGAGUAAAUACUUAUUAAAUAUUAUAAAAGGUAUUAGUAUAUCUUAAUAGUAAGAUAGUAGCUAUAGAAGUUAGAAUCUACUAAGGACUAUAUAAUAACUUAUCUACUAAAUAUACUAGCCCUAAAAAUAGAUAGCGCUUAAGUAUUCUACCUAUACCUUACCCUUAGGGUAAGAAUAAAGCCCUAAGGAGUAGGUAGAUAUAGAGGUUAGUAAUAAAGCCUAGGGCGUAAGCUUAGGUUAAAUAGCCUCUAGUGUAGAUCUUAGUAAUAGUAGUAAAUACUUUAAUAAAAACUUAAAGGACUAAAGUAGAGAAAGGUUCUAUAUAAAUAGUAGUUAGAUAUAAAUUAGUUAAUCUUAAGCUAUAAGGAAGUUCUAUUUUAAAGGUAUAUUAUAUACUAUAUAAUAAAAGGGAAGUUAGUUAAUAUUCUAGUACCUAAAUAUAGGUUUUAUAUAGUAAUAUAACUAAAUAUAUAGAUAAUAGUAAGAGCCCUAAGUAGAGUUCUCUUUUCUUCUUAAUAGUCUAUUACCUUAAAAUUAGUUUAUCUAAAGCUAGGGUUUAAUAGCUAGAAGAACCUAGUACCUUUAAUAGGUUUAAUAUACUCUUAAUAUCCCUUAAAAAUCUAUAAGAAGGAAUAAUUCUUAUAUUAGAUUAUACUUAUAACUAUAGUAGGUCUCUAAGGUAAAUAGCCUCUAGUUAAUAGAAUAAUAUAGAUAAGGGAAGUUAGUAAAAUAGAUUUAUAACUUUAGGAUAAGGAUUAGCUCUAAGGGUUAGGCAUAUUAGGCUUUAGAAGGACGCCUUAGGAGUAAGCUAUUACUAGCUAGGUAACUAGCUAGCGGUAGCUAGUAUCUAGGCGCUAAUAUCCUUAGUAGGCUUUAGCUAUCUAGUAUAUAGUUAAUAACUAACUUAGAACUAGUAUAAAUAAAGGGAAUCUAACUAUCUAAUUAAAAUAUAGUAUUAUAAUAGCUAGAAAGUAGUAUUAAUAUAAUAUAAUUUCUACCUAAUACUCUAAAUAUUAAAGUAAAGUAAUUUAACUAAGUAUAAGUAAAUAGUAAGAGUAACUAUAACUUAAGAAAUUAGUAACUACCUUUUAAAGAUAGAUAAGCACCUAAUGCUAUAACGGCUACUAUAUAGGCGCCUAGAAGUCUUUAACGUUAAGAGGGUUAAGUAGUAUAAAAGCUAUCUACUAGUAGGCUAGGAAUCACACUGCUAGCCUAUAACACUAUUAAAUUAUAGGAAUAUCCUAAAGCUAAUACUACUAAGUAGGUACUAAAAGGCGUAUAUAGCUAAGGUAAUAACCUUAGGUAUAGUAAAAAUAUAUUAGAUAAUAUAAUAGAUAAUCUAUAGCUAAGCUCUAAGUCUAGUGUUAUAACGCUAGAUAUAGGUGUAGUUUAAUAACUAAAUAGUAGUAGGUUCUAUAAGAAACACGUACUAUAAACUUCUCCUAAGGCUUAAGAUAUAGUCUACUCUUACUCUAAAAGGAUAGAUACUAAGUGCUCUUAAGGUAGCUAAAUGCCUUAUUAUCUAAUUAGUAACACGUAUAAAUAGAUUAAUGAGAUUCCCACUAUCCCUAUCUACUAUCUAGUAAAACUAUAGCUAAGGAAAUAGGCUUAGUAAAAUUAGUAAGGAAAAAAGACCCUAUUAAGCUUAACUCUAGUUUAAUAUUAUAAAAAGAUAUAGGAGGUAUAGAAUAGGUAAGAGCUUUAGCGCUAGUAAAAUACUACUACUCCUAUUAUUUUUUUACUUAUUUAAUAAAGUAAGGAUAGAUUUUUAUCUAACUUCUAGUUUUAAGGUCCUUUAUAGGCUAACCUAGGUUAAAGAUAUUAUUAGGUAGGGAGUUUAGCUAAGGUGGUAUAUCUAUUAAACUAUAAUAUAGGUGUCCUAAGGGGGGCUUAUAGAGAAUAGAAAUCUCUAGUAGAAUAAAAGGGUAAAAGUCCCCUUAAUUUUAAUUUUUAGUAUAAAUAUAAACUAUAAAAGUAUAGCUUAUUAAUCCUUUAGUCCCUUAACAUUUAAGGCUAAAGAUACUAGAAAAGUUACUAUAGGGAUAACUAGCUUAUAGUAGCUAAGCGUUUAUAGUGACGUCGCUUUUUAAUCCUUUAAUAUUAGCUCUUCCUAUUAUACUAAAGUAGAAUUUAGUAAGCGUUAGAUUAUUUACCUACUAAUAGGGAACGUAAGCUAGGUUUAGACUGUUAUAAAAUAGGUUAGUUUUACCCUACUAAUAACCUCACCGUAAUAGUAAUUUAGCUUAGUAUAGGAGGAACUACUAAUUUAGAUAAUUAGUUUUUAUAGCUAUCUAACUAGGUAGUACUAUAAUACUACUAUCUACUAGAUAAUAACUAAACACCUCUAAGUUAGAAUCUAUACUAGAAUAUGGUGAUACUACCUGUAUAUAUAAAUAGAUAAGAAUAGGCUUUAGCUUUAUGUCUUAGUAGGCGAUUUAUCUACGGCUAUAGAAGAGUAGUUUUAGUAUUUUACGUAUUAUAAUUUUAAUAUAAGCGGGGUUAAAUCCUUUAUAGAUAACUUAGCUAUGCGAAAUAGUCUUAUAAGUAGUAGAGUAGCCUUAUUAUUAUAAUCUACUAAGGGUAAGCUAU